GGGAGCUGCAGCCCCGAGCCCGGUCGCCUCACUUGGCGGACGUGAGGCCUGUAGUAAAGAGUGAGGCCUGAGGUAGAUUACCCCUCCCAUCGAAUAUGCUAGUUUCCUGCUUACCGCGUAAACAACCCGCUCAACAAUAUAGUCUGCCUGGCAACUGAUGAUGUUAGCCAAUCAGCUUGCCUUGCUUACUUUAACAUGAUUGGACACUGUACCCGUAUAUAUACUGGUGCCACCCCUGGGAGGAAGUAGAAGCCAGGUAGAAGCCCGAAAGUAGAAGCCCAGAAGGAGCUGCGGAGAGCGGACCGAUAGAGGCUUUGGGGCAGACUAAAGCACAAGAGGAGCCGCGGAGAGCGGACCAAAGGAGGCUUCAGCUGGGAGAACCUAGGGCAGGCUGUACGGAGAAGAAAAAUAAAAAAAAAAGGUUGUCCACUACCAGACUGUGUCGUGUGUCCUUCCUGCCGGCCGGGAGCGGACAUCGACAUUUGGAGGCCCGCCCGGGGACUGAUCACCCCCGAGACGUGACAGUGGACAACGCUCCAGUACAGAGCUGCGAGACAGGAACUGGGACGAGAACCACUGUGGAUACCGGAGAGACUGACACGGGCAACAAAGCCCUCGACUGAAGAUCAGACCUGCCCUACUGGAGAUCCAUCACAGACCAACCAACAAGAUGAAUAGAAAUAGCGGUAGCCCGAAAUGGACAAAAAGAUCCUCAGGCAUAUGCAUGGCUUGCUCGAUUGGCCCACGACCGAGUCUAGAUAUGGCGGGCAUCCUUCAUUCUCCUCCAUAAGGUGACAA